rnacentral:rRNA from 1 species
GUGGGGAAUAUUGCGCAAUGGGGGAAACCCUGACGCAGCGACGCCGUGUGAGGGAAGAAGGCUUUCGGGUCGUAAACCUCUGUCAGAAAGGAAGAACCUCCCAAGUCCGAAUAGGGCUUGGGACUGACGGUACUUUCAAAGGAAGCACCGGCUAACUCCGUGCCAGCAGCCACGGUAAUACGGAGGGUGCAAGCGUUAAUCGGAAUCACUGGGCGUAAAGCGCGCGUAGGCCGCUUUGUAAGUCGGACGUGAAAGCCCUCGGCUCAACCGGGGAACUGCGUUCGAUACUGCGAGGCUUGAGUCCUGGGGAGGGUGGCGGAAUUCCGGGUGUAGGAGUGAAAUCCGUAGAUAUCCGGAGGAACACCGGUGGCGAAGGCGGCCACCUGGACAGGUACUGACGCUGAGGCGCGAAAGCGUGGGGAGCAAACAGGAUUAGAUACCCUAGUAGUCC